rnacentral:rRNA from 1 species
UACGUAGGGUGCAAGCGUUGUCCGGAAUUAUUGGGCGUAAAGAGCUCGUAGGCGGUUUGUCGCGUCGGCUGUGAAAACCCGGGGCUCAACCCCGGGCCUGCAGCCGAUACGGGCAGACUAGAGUUCGGCAGGGGAGACUGGAAUUCCUGGUGUAGCGGUGAAAUGUGUAGAGAUCGGGAGGAACACCGGUGGCGAAGGCGGGUCUCUGGGCAAUUCCUGACGCUGAGGCGCGAAAGCGUGGGGAGCAAACGGG